CUACACGACCGUACCGCAAACCGACACUGGUGCGCGAGAUGAGUAUUCUAAGGCGCUUGAGAGAACUCAGGAGAAGGAACUCGGCAAAUUGACACCGUAACUUCGGAAGAAGGUGUGCCUUUAGUAGGUGAACCUGUACAAGGGGAGCCCAAUGAGGUUGCAAAAAAUCGGUGGCUGCGACUGUUUAAUAAAAACACAGCACUCUGCAAACACGAAAGUGGACGUAUAGGGUGUGACGCCUGCCCGGUGCUGGAAGAUUAAAUGAUGGGGUGCAAGCUCUUGAUUGAAGUCCCAGUAAACGGCGGCCGUAACGAUAACGGUCCUAAGGUAGCGAAAUUCCUUGUCGGGUAAGUUCCGACCUGCACGAAUGGCGUAACGAUGGCCACACUGUCUCCUCCUGAGACUCAGCGAAGUUGAAAUGUUUGUGAUGAUGCAAUCUCCCCGCGGAAAGACGGAAAGACCCCAUGAACCUUUACUGUAGCUUUGUAUUGGACUUUGAACAGAUCUGUGUAGGAUAGGUGGGAGGCUUUGAAGUGUGGUCGCUAGAUCGCAUGGAGCCAACGUUGAAAUACCACCCUGGUGUGUUUGAGGUUCUAACCUAGGCCCGUAAUCCGGGUCGGGGACAGUGCAUGGUAGGCAGUUUGACUGGGGCGGUCUCCUCCCAAAGCGUAACGGAGGAGUUCGAAGGUACGCUAGGUACGGUCGGACAUCGUGCUAAUAGUGCAAUGGCAUAAGCGUGCUUAACUGCGAGACUGACAAGUCGAGCAGAUGCGAAAGCAGGACAUAGUGAUCCGGUGGUUCUGUAUGGAAGGGCCAUCGCUCAACGGAUAAAAGGUACUCUGGGGAUAACAGGCUGAUACCGCCCAAGAGUUCAUAUCGACGGCGGUGUUUGGCACCUCGAUGUCGGCUCAUCUCAUCCUGGGGCUGUAGCCGGUCCCAAGGGUAUGGCUGUUCGCCAUUUAAAGAGGUACGUGAGCUGGGUUUAAAACGUCGUGAGACAGUUUGGUCCCUAUCUUCCGUGGGCGCUGCAGAUUUGAGGAAGCCUGCUCCUAGUACGAGAGGACCGGAGUGGACACACCUCUGGUGUAUCGGUUGUCACGCCAGUGGCAUUGCCGAGUAGCUAUGUGUGGAAGAGAUAACCGCUGAAAGCAUCUAAGCGGGAAACUCGUUUCAAGAUGAGAUCUGCCGGGGCCUUGAGCCCCCUAAAGAGUCGUUCAAGACCAGGACGUUGAUAGGUCGGGUGUGGAAGCGCAGUAAUGCGUUAAGCUAACCGAUACUAAUUGCUCGUGCGGCUUGACC
rnacentral:rRNA from 1 species